GACGAACGCUGGCGGCGUGCUUAACACAUGCAAGUCGAACGGUAAGGCCCUUCGGGGUACACGAGUGGCGAACGGGUGAGUAACACGUGGGUGAUCUGCCCUGCACUUCGGGAUAAGCCUGGGAAACUGGGUCUAAUACCGGAUAGGACUCCGGACUGCAUGGUCUGGGGUGGAAAGCUUUUGCGGUGUGGGAUGGGGCCGCGGCCUAUCAGCUUGUUGGGUGGGUGAUGGCCUACCAAGGCGACGACGGGUAGCCGGCCUGAGAGGGUGGCCGGCCACACUGGGACUGAGAUACGGCCCAGACUCCUACGGGAGGCAGCAGUGGGGAAUAUUGCACAAUGGGCGCAAGCCUGAUGCAGCGACGCCGCGUGAGGGAUGACGGCCUUCGGGUUGUAAACCUCUUUCAGCAUCGACGAAGCGAAAGUGACGGUAGGUGCAGAAGAAGGACCGGCCAACUACGUGCCAGCCGCCGCGGUAA
rnacentral:rRNA from 1 species